rnacentral:lncRNA from 1 species
CCCCUCUGCAGGCAGCUACUUCUGCAUUUCUUGCUUAUUCCUCCAGACGUGGCAUAUGGGAUCACUUAUGCAGCACUACGAGGUACCAGUCAUUUCCUUCGGCAUUACCUGGAGUUUAGUAAGCUUUAUAACAUAAUACUAGUAAGUAGGCCCCAUGUCACAGGACAGGGACCGAGGACAGGGGGUUUAGGUGACUUUCCCAGGUGGCUUCUAGUAUGAUCGGAUACCAGUCAUCAGACACGAGCUCCCAUGCUCCUGGUCACUGUCCUAUUAUCUUUUCUGUGCUGUCAUCCAAAUAAAAUCGCGUCCCCACGCAUCACUCUGCUGGGGGUGGUAAGCACACACCACAUCGCAAUGCCCCUCUUGGGCCCAGCCUGGACUCAGUUGGCUCCCCAGGCACAGGUGAACAAGGAGAACGGGAGUGUGACCCAGCAAUGAACGAUCGCACUCCCAGGGUCUUCUCCCAGCUGCACAGCGACCGUGUUGUGGUCAGUGUACUUCCAGGAUCAGGGCUUACGUUACAAAAAGAGAAGAUCAUAGGGAAUUCAAACACAGGAUUCACAAAAAAAUCAUCUGUAGUCAAGAAAAUCUACUGGCUGUCCCCAGCAGUGUCUCGGCAGCAUCCAAAUGGACUUCUGGCCAAACAACAGGGUAGAGCCACAAAUAUCACCUCCAUGGACUACUCCAUUGAAGGUCCUGUGGGUACAAAAUCAAAUAAUUAGGAUCCAUGGAGGCAGAGGAUGUGACGUUCUUACUCACCAGAGCAUGCUGCACACUCCCCGUUGCACCUGAUGAACAGGACAGAGAUUCUCUGGAGACAGGACAAUGAGGACAACACUCCAUGCUGGGGACAGUGUGAGGUCUGAAUCUGCACAGUCUGCUCUGUGCCCAGCUCUGCCCUUCGCGCCAUGUGACCCAGGGCCGGAUCAACAAACUUCUCUAGGAGCGCCCAUGGCUCGUGUCUAAACUAUGAGUGACAUAUUGAAAGCUACAUUUGAAACUAAGGAUAUACUAUAAGUUGGCUAACUGAAUUUAAAUAAAAAAUAAAAUGAAAAAA